CUUCCGGGGGUGGCGGGCAGGGGCGGCAGCCAGAGCGGCGGGGACGGGCCUGGCGCCGGCGGCGGCGGCGGCGGCGGCGGAGAGGGCGCCGCGGGCGGGCGAUGUGAGCGCGGCACGCCGGGCAGGUGAAUUAACCGAAGCAUGAAAACUAAAAAAUAAGCAAGAGGAAGAAUGUUGAGGCAGACCUUGGGAGAUUACGCCUCAUGUCAGUAGCAAUGGACAGCAGCAGUUUUAUUCAGUUCGAUGUGCCCGAGUACAGCAGCACCGUUCUGAGCCAGCUAAACGAACUCCGCCUACAAGGGAAACUAUGUGACAUCAUUGUCCACAUUCAGGGUCAGCCAUUCCGAGCUCACAAAGCAGUCCUUGCUGCCAGCUCCCCCUACUUCCGGGACCAUUCAGCAUUAAGUACCAUGAGUGGCUUGUCAAUAUCAGUGAUAAAAAAUCCCAACGUGUUUGAACAGUUGCUUUCCUUUUGUUACACUGGAAGAAUGUCCUUGCAGCUGAAGGAUGUUGUCAGUUUUCUGACUGCAGCCAGCUUUCUUCAGAUGCAGUGUGUCAUUGACAAGUGCACACAGAUCCUAGAGAGCAUCCACUCAAAAAUCAGUGUUGGGGAUGUUGACUCUGUAACCGUAGGUGCUGAAGAGAAUCCCGAGAGCCGCAAUGGAGUGAAAGAUGGUGGCUUCUUUGCCAACCCAGUUGAGAUCUCCCCUCCAUACUGCCCUCAGGUACGGCAGCCCACCACAAGCAGUGAUCUCCGGAUGGAGACGACUCCCAGCAAAGCUUUGCGUGGCCGCUUACAGGAGGAGGGGCACUCAGAUCGGGGGAGCAGUGGAAGCGUGUCCGAGUAUGAGAUUCAGAUCGAGGGGGACCAUGAACAAGGGGACUUGUUGGUGAGGGAAAGCCAGAUCACCGAGGUGAAAGUGAAGAUGGAAAAGUCGGACCGGCCCAGCUGUUCAGACAGCUCCUCCCUGGGCGAUGACGGGUACCACACUGAGAUGGUUGAUGGGGAACAAGUGGUGGCAGUGAACGUGGGCUCCUAUGGCUCUGUGCUCCAGCAUGCGUAUUCCUAUUCGCAAGCAGCCUCACAGCCAACCAGUGUAUUAGAAGCUUUUGGAAGUUUGAGUAAUUGCAGCCCAUCCAGGUCCAUGCUGAGCUGUUUCCGAGGAGGGCGUGCACGCCAGAAGCGGCCUUGGUCUGUCCAUCUGCACAGUGACCUACAAGGCAUGGUGCAGGGGUCUGACGGCGAACAUGUGAUGAACAACCCUGGGUAUGAGAGCAGUCCCCAGGAGAGGAGUGUAAAAGGUCAUUGGUACCCGUACAGUGAGAGGCUGAUCUGUAUUUACUGUGGGAAGUCUUUCAACCAGAAAGGAAGCCUCGACAGACACAUGCGACUCCACAUGGGAAUCACUCCCUUUGUGUGCAAGUUCUGUGGGAAGAAGUACACAAGGAAGGACCAGCUGGAGUACCACAUCCGGGGCCACACUGAUGAUAAACCAUUCCGCUGUGAGAUCUGUGGGAAGUGUUUUCCAUUCCAAGGUACCCUCAACCAGCACUUGCGGAAAAACCACCCGGGUGUUGUUGAAGUCAGGAGUCGCAUUGAGUCUCCCGAGAGAACAGAUGUGUACAUGGAACAGAAACUAGAAAAUGAUGCAUCAGCCUCAGAGAUGGCCCUAGAUUCCCGGAUGGAAAUCCACACAGUUUCCGAUGCUCCUGAUUAAGAUGGGAAAUACUUUCAAGGAUUCGACCUAGGAAGACUCUCAAGUCAAAUAACUGGAUGUGUAUGUUUAUCCACCUCAGUGCUGAUGAUAAUAUUCAAAACUUGGGAGCCACUAUAAUACCCAUCAACAAAUCUGGCACUCUCCCAUGAUAUUUCCCCUCACCAGAGACCAAGCCUUGAACCACCAAAACUGCAAGCUAAGUAAACCUUUUUUUCCUUCACUUUUUUCUUUCUUCUAAUUUAAUUAGUUAAUUUUUUUUUGUCUUUUUUGUUUUUAUCGGUACCGGGGAUCGAAUCACGACUGCCUGCUUGCAAGGCAGGCGCUUAUGCUGCUGAGCUAAAUCCCCAGCCCCCAAUUAGUUAAUUUUUGAUACCAGAUCUCACUAUGAGGUUUAGGCUGGCCUUGAACUCACUAUUUCUCCCAGGCUCACCUCAAAAGUGUAGCAAUCCUACUGCCUUAGCCUCCUUAGUGCUGGGAUUACAGAUGUGCACCACCAUGCCUAGCGACUUUUUCCUCUUUAUAAAGUUAACUUCUCCAGGUUUUUUGUUGUAAUAGUACAAAAUUGACUGAAUCAGAUAGAUACGACUAUUAAUCUCUUUCACAGAAAAAACAGACUUCAGAGAUGGAAGAAAUUGAUCCACAUCAUAUAGCCUGGAGAUGGCAUGAGGCUGGUGUGAUUUCAUAGUUUGGUCUGUCUUCGUAACCAAUAUCAGUUAUGAAGCAAACUCGUACCACACAUUGGGGACACAGUGGUGAGCAAACCUGACACAGCCCAAGCCCUCCUGGAAGCCAAGAGUUCAGUGGAGAACGUGAGUCAUAUGGUCACAGUGACAUGUAAUUCAAAACACAAUGAAGCAAUGGUAAAGGGAACCAUGAGAUCUUAAGGCAGGGGCACCUGACCUCAUGAGGAUGCUGGAGGAAGUGACACCUGAGAGAAACAGGAUGAGUUGCAUUUAGCCAGAUGUCUUAGAUCACUUUCCUUGUUGCCCAGACCCAAUGCCUGACACCCACAACUAGAAAGAGGAGAGUUUUAUUUCGGCUUAUGUUUUAGACAUUUCAGUCCUCAUGUGGUUGGAUGCUGCGGUGGAAGGGUCUGGCAGAAGAAAGCUGCUCACCUCAUGGUGGCUGGGAGGCAGACAGUCAAGGGAGACACAGCCUUCCAGGUCACAUCCAAAGUGACCCAUCUCUUCUACCCAGACACCGCCUCCUCACAGUAAGUCAGCUGUAAUACCCUGGGAACCACUCACCUUCUGGCAGCCCCACCUCUGAACCCUUGAGGUGUUUUGGGGGGACGUUUGGACACAACCAUAACAGUAGGUAAGGCAGGAGAGGGAGAAGAAGAGCAUUUCAGACAGAGGAAGCAGCAUGGUCAGAGGUCUUGAGGCUGAAGAACGCUGGCUUGUAUAAGAAGCUGAGAAAGGCCAAGGUGGCUAAAGAACUGAGAGUGACCGUGAUAUGCUUGGAGGACACGGACCUGGUAUUCAGCACUACAUUUCUCGUGAAAACCUUGGUAACCAAGCAACCCUCCUUCUACUAGAUCCUUCUUCUUCCCCAGAAGUACUGAGGCCUGAACCAAAGGACUCAUGUAUAACCAGGCAAGUGCUGUACACUGAGCUCCAUCUCCAACCCUCUAUGAAUUUUAUUUUAAGGGAGGCAUGGUGGUCCAUGUCUGUAACCCUGGCACUUGAGAAGGUGAGGUAGAAUUUCCAAGCCCCACCUGGACUACAAAGUGAAACCUUUUCACAAACAAACGAACAUCUUUUUAAAAAUUUGAGACAAAAUUUCACUAAGUUGCCCAGUCUAGCUUUAAAAGGAUCCUCCUGUCUCAGCUUCCUGAGUAGCUGAAAUUAUAGGCAAUGUUCUUCUUCCUCCCUUCCUUCCUCCUUUCUUCCUUCCAUUUUUUUGUACCAGGAAUCGAACUCAUGACUGCAUGCUUGCAAAGCAGGUGCUUAUGCCGCUGAGCUAAAUUCCCAGGCCCCUUCCUUGUUUUUUGAUAGGACCUUGCUAUGCAGUUCAGGUUGGUGUUAAACUCACUAUGGCUCCCAUGCUGAUCUCAAACACACAGUGAUCCUCCUGUCUCAGCCUUCUCUGUUCUUGGAUUACCGGUAUAUGGCACCACACUUGGUCCUUUCCUUCUUUAGACUGAUCAAACUUUUUUUUAGAGAACAUCAAGUAUUCCUGGGCUGAGAGUCAACCUGUCUCUUUAAGAUGUCCUUGCGUGUCUUAGUUCUGAUUUCUUCCACCUGGAAUUGAAGUUGAAGUUUCAGAGAGCAGCUCUUGUGGUCGUGUUUCAGGAAAGUGCCUCUUUCUAGCCACACUGAUAAUACAGUCCUCAGUGCUGGGCUAGGCACAGGGCCACAGAAGUGUCCUCUUUACAGUUCCUGUCCCUGCACAGCUCACAGUCUUGUGUGGAAUUUAGAUUCAAAAAAUCAUUAGUGAUUAGUUACCUAGAUGUAUGCUUUUGUCAAGAUUCAUCACAGUACAUUUAAAGUGAGGACAUUUUAUUUUAUAUGAAACAUACCCUAAUAGAGUUGAUUUUAGAAAACACGUAUAUCAAUAUGCAAAACUUGGGACAAAAUUACCAUCUAUUGUCCCAAAUAUUAAGCUGGGCUUUCCUUCCAAGCUUCUAGAUCCUGAUAACGCCAAAUUUGUUUUCUUUUUCUGUCCCCACCCAAGGAUUGUAGCUGCUUUCCAGUUAUUUUCUCUUAUAGUUUAGUGGUGGUUUUUAAUCCUUUUCUCAGACCUUCAAUACACGUUUGACCCAUUCCCUAUAAUAAUUUCCCCUGCUAAAAUAACUAGUGUGGUUUCUGUUUUCUUGGCUGGACACUGGUCUCUCAAAGCUGAGUUUCUAGGAUGGGUUUGACUGGGCACCUGGUCUUGAACCACUGCCAACCUGUCUGCCAUGAACAAUGGCAGGCAGGGAAUCUGUAGCCUACAGCAGCAUCUUAGCUGAUUAAAUGCUCAUCUGAGGUUGGUUUUGAUGAAAUGCCUACUGAAGUACCGUCUUAAGAGACCAUGUGGCCAAAAGAUGGUAGGUAGAUAACAGCUGGCUACAGAGGCUCUCUGAGAUAGUCAACUUAGAAUUCAACAUAAUACAGCGUGGGGAGCCCCAAACAGAGGGAGAUGAAUUCUCUCGUCUCAAGAAGAAACUAAGGUGAGAAGAACCAAUCAAACAUACAGUCUCAGUGUUACUAUUAGAAUAGCUAAAGGAUCAGUGCUCCCGCGGCAGUGGGCAAGUUACCAAGCCGUCUGAGGUCCCACCACUUCGACUCACUGGAGGUGCAGUCACACGGAGGUUGGGGGUCAGCCAGCCAAAUGGAGAGCUGAGCUGGUGGGGAGCCUGCAUUGACCUGUGGUGGGUGACAGAAGGGGAGCCAUUCUACAGAAAGGGGGGCUCUGGUGGAUGACAUUCUGGGACUUGGCAAAACCGGCAAGUACAAGGAGCAGCAGUGACUUCAGGCAGUUGUUCCCUUCCCAAAUGGGGUUGGUAGAGUGAGCCUGGCCUGGGUCAUGUGAGACCCAGUAGGUUAUCCGAAAUCAAUUUCCUAAGGCGGUGGCAUACACUAACCACACUAACACAGUGAAGCCUCAGAAGUUUGACUGAUCCGGAGGGGAGGUGUUGCAUAGUAAUACAGUACAGGCCUCAGCAUCUUGACUGAUCCAGAGGGGAGAGGCCAUCAUACACUGCCCCUGUCUGCAACUCAUUAGCACACUGCAGUGGGAAGGGCCAGCGUGCUUCAGAAGAAUUGUAACCAACAAAGAAAGAAACUGGGGCCUCCUGGAAGAAACAAAAAAGAUGGGAAGAGGAAGCAAUGACAAAUAGUCCCCAGGUCCCAACCCUGAGGAACAUGGACCCAGGACAGGUAAAUACAAAGGAGAAUGAGAACAGCAAACAUGCAAUAUCAGACACAGUGUCAGUGGACAUAAAGAGAUAUCUUCAGGACCUCAUAGACAAGUUCAAAAGUGAAAUAUUUAGCCAAGUAAAGCAAGAUAUGAGAAGAUUAAUAAAAGAGAUGCUAAGCACCCCUCAAGCAGACAGAGAUGGAAGAAGGGAGGAACUCAAACAAAGGAGAGAACCAUUUGAUGAAGAAUAUAAAAAAAUAUGUAGAAGACAUUAAGCAGAUUCAAAGAGAUUAGCAGGAAAUUUAAAAUUCUAUGGAAAGAUGGCAAAUCUGCUUGUAAGAAACUAAGGAUAGAUUAUCCAAACUGGAGAACAGUUUUGCAAUGUGGAAUUAUGAAAGGAAGAACUUUUUAAAAAUAACAUGGAAACAAGCCAUAACAAUACAAAGGCUAGAAGAUGACAAGAGAUCUACAACUUGAGAAUAAAGAAUGUGAAUGAGGAAGCAGGGGUACAAACAAAGGAACUACAAAGGCUAUUCAUAGAAAUAAUUAAGGAAAACUUCCCAAACAUAGGAAAAGGAAAUGGUAUUCUGAUGUAUGAGACAUACAGAACUCCAGCCACCUACAGCCAAAACAGAGCUAUACCCAGGCAUAUAAUAAUCAAGAUCUCAGAAAUUCAGUAUAAGAACAGAAUAUUAAAGGCUGUUAAAGACAAGCAACAGAUAACCUACAGAGGAAGGCCCAUCAGAAUAAUGGCAGACUUCUCGACAUAAACCAUCAAGUCAAGAAGAGCCUGGAGCGAAAUAUUCCAAGCCCUGAAAGAAAAUAACCUCAAAUCCAGAUUGAUAUACCCUGAUAAACUGUCUCUAGAAAUUAAUGGAGAAACAAAAUGCUUCCCAGACAAAGAGGAACUUGGGAAAUUCGCAACCACCAAUCCAACUCUACAGAGAAUACUUCAGGGCAUUCUAGAGAGAGAGUGAAAAGUACUAGGAUUCCAGGAACAGUGGCAGAGAGGCCUCAAUGAAUGGAGCAGAAAACAGAAUGAAGAAGAUAAGCAGACAGCUGAUGGCAAAAAAAGAGCAUAACAGAAAUGAGGCAGAGAAGGUUGGUUAUAAUCUCUAAUAAUAGAUGACCUUGAUACACUAAAUUUAAAAUAAAAAAGAACCACAUGUGGAGUAGAACAGGAGGCAGGGUCCACUGAGAUGCUAUUUAUAGGAAAUAUAAUUAACAUGAAAAAAAGUACAUGGACUGAAAAUCAAAUGUGAGAAAACAAUGCUCUAUGUGACUGAGAACCAGAGAGUAAUAGGGGCAACUAGACCAGUAUUUGUGGGUAGGCUGGAAAGACAGGCUUUAAUAGGUAAAGGAAUACAAUUAAAGAUCAAGGCCAGGAGAGAGGAGGUUUGGAACCACUUAGGUAAAUAGCAGGUUGCCCCACCCCCAAUUUAAAACCAAGGGUCUUGGUCAGACCCAAAAAUGCACAGUAUACCCUGGGGAAGUGAAAGGGGAGGGAGAGUCUUAAAAAAGAUGGCAGAAGAUAUUGUUAAUGGUGUAUCAGGAUUUAAAAUCCACAUUACUCGCACCACUCUGCUUAGAUAGAUUUUAUUCUUUUUUUGAUAGAUUUUAUUCUGUCCCAGUUUAUCUACUUGCAUUAGAUUUGAGGGCACAGACAGCUAUCCCAAAAACAUCAGGAUAUAGCACAGUAAUUUCCUAUUAUCUUAAUUCGGAGCCCUGUAUGACUUACACUGUUUUAUCAUGACUGAUCUUAGUUAAAUCUGGUUUGAUUGCUGUUUGGUAGCGACAAAUUUUAUUUAAAACUGAUAUAUUUUUAAAAAUUUUUUAUUUAAAAGGAAAAAGAGAAAAAACAAAACAAAACAAAACAGUGUAAGGGUACAAGUAAUACAGAACUACAAAAAAAAAACAAAAGAAAUCAUCAGUUAAUAGAUUACACAUUAUCAUCUUAGAGAUAGUUGCUCAAGUCACAGGAUCAAAGCAUACAAAGUGGACAUUCAAACAGUGACACUGCAAACAGUUGUGUUCAGUGAUCCAACCAAAAACAUUAAUAUGGUCAGCUAUUUAACACCGAUAAACACACUUGCAGUUGUAUCCUUUAGAGUACUUUUUUUCCUCUCUUUUUUACAACAAAAUUUACACAUUUUGGGUUUUAUUACUCCUAUAGUUCUUAUUACUUUUCUUUGGAAGAGAAAUCAAAUAUGACAAAACAAAGCUGUCAGUCAAAACCAAGGAUAGACAUAGCACAUGAUGUAAAAACAGAGUACAAGGUUAUCAACAAUGGUUACCAUAAUGCCUCUUGCUUCCUUAAAAAGAAUUGUCUAUCUCAUUAGGUAUUAUAAAGUUGAACAAAACAGUAGAGAACAAGACCAAUAAAACCUAAACAUUGUAAACAUUACAGGACUUCAAAAGAAGAUAAUAGUCAAACCAGAAUGGGCAUCAUCGUGAAUCUUAUUGCCUUAAAAGUAGUUGCCUAUACCCUCAAACUUGAUACUAUCGUACAAAACGGAACAGAGUCUAAUCAGUCAAAACAAGAUAGUGGGAGUAUUACAGGACUUCAAAUCAAGUUAAUAGGAAAUCAAAAAAGUUACUAUAAUAUAUCCUGCUAAUUUUUUUUUGAUUUUUUCCCCUUAAUUAAAAAAUAAUAAAAAAAACUAAAUAAUUUUUUUAAUGAAUAAGGGAGAGAUUGAGAUAAAAGAGGACAUAACAACAUAACAAUAAAGGUCAAAGCAUGACAGUUUCAGCAACCUAGUGCUUCACCACCAAAUAACCCGACUUAAUAGUAGUUGCCAUAGUGUCUUUUUCCUUGAAAUAUUUGAAUAUAACUUCGUAUACUAUAGCAUCAAACAUAUCAAGACAGUGUAAAACCAUUCAAGUGGAUGAAAGCAUUGUAGGGUAUUUAGAAUCAGCUAACAGAAAACAAACAAUGAUUUCUAUAUUAUCUCUUUGCCUAUAACAAUUUUUGUUUGUAUUAUCACAUAUAAUAAAAUCCAGCAAGAUACAUGAUAAAACCAAUGGAGACAGAAGAGCCAUAGUUUGGUGGGGCUUCAAAACAAGAUGAUAUUAAAUUAGCACUACCUAUUAUGAUGUCUUGUUUUCUUCAGAAUAGCUGUUCAUUUCAUCACAGGCAAUAAUAUCAAGCAGCCCAGAAUAAAGCCAUUCCAAUUAAUAAGUGAAAACUUUAUAAGGCUUCAAGGCCACAUAAUGUGGAGUCAUGAUUACCACAUACUUUUAUAUAUUUGAAUCAUUUCUUACACUAGGGAAACUAUUUGGUAUUCACACAUGCGAGUUUGAUUUAUUUCACUUAUGAGUAUGGUUUCAAGCUGCGCCCAUUUAUUGACAAAUAUCUCAAUGUGAUCCUUCUUUAUAGCUGAGUAGUACUCCAUUGUUUAGAAAUACCAUAACUUUUUUAUCCAUUCCUAAGUUGAUGGACACUUGGGUUGUUUCCAAGAUAUGGCGAUUACAAAUUGUGCUGCUAUAAACAUAAGUGCGCAUAUAUCACUGUGGUAUGAUGCUUUCAGUUCUUCUGGGAAUAUGCCUAGAAGUGGAAUAGCUGGAACAAAUGGGACUUCCAAUCCUAGCUUUUUGAGAAAUCUCCAGACUGACCUCCACAAAGGUUGUACCAGUCUACACUCCCACCAACAGUGCAGGAGAGUUCCUUUUUCCCACAGCCUCUCCAGCAUUUGUUGUUGUUGGUUUUCUUGAUACUGGCCAUUCUUUCAGGAGUGAGACAGACUCUCAGUGUGGUUUUAAUUUGCAUUUCUCUAAUGAUCAAUGAUGAUGAACAUUUUUUUCAUGUAUUUAUUUGCCAUUUGUAUUACUUCAUCUGAGAAGUGUGUAUUCAUCUCAGAUGCCCAUUUUUGGAUUGGAUCUUUGAAUUUUGGGGGUCUGAGUUUUUUUAAUUCUUCAUAUGUUUUAGACAAAAGUCCCUUGUCUGAGGGGGAGUUCACUAAGAUCUUUUCCCAGUUUGUGGGUUUUCACUGUGCUGGAGAUAUUUUUUGACAUGCAGAAACUUUUUAAUAAGAGGUGGUCCCAGUUAUUGAUUCUUGGAAAUAUUUCCCGUGCGGUUUGAGUCCUGUUCAUGAAUUCUCUACCUACCGCUAUGUCUUCAAGGUUUCUACCCAAUUUGUCUUCCAAUAGAUUUAGUGUUUCUAUUUUAAUAUUCAGAUCUUUGACCCAUUUAGAUUUUAAUUUAGUACAUGGUGAUAGGCAUGGGUCUAGUUUUAGUUUUUGGCAAAUGGAGAGCCAGUUUUUCCAACACCAUUUAUUAAAGAGACUGUUGUUCUUCCAGUGAACCUGCUUGGCUCCUUUAUCAAAGAUAAGGUGGUUUAGUGUGUUUGUAGUUGUGGCUGUAUCUUCUAAUCUAUUCCAUUGAUCUUCGGCUCUGUUUUGAUUCCAGUACCAUGUUGAUUUUACUACUGUUGCUUUGCCUCCUGCCUUGUCUUUGCUGCUUAGAAUUGCCUUUGCUAUUCUAGGUCUCUUCUGCUUCCAGAUGAAUUUUAGGAGUGAUUUCUCUAGGUCUAUAAGGCAUAUUGAUGGUAUUUUUUAUUGGGAUUGCAUUGAAUCUGUAUAGCAGUUUUGGGAGAAUGGCCAUUUUCAGAAUAUUUCUUCUUCCUAUCCAUAAGCAAGGGAUGUCUUUCCAUUUUCUGAGAUCAUCUUCAAUUUCUUUUUUCAGUGUAUUAUAAUUUUCCCUGUAUAGGUCUUUCACUUCUUUCAUAAGAGUAAUUCCUAAAUAUUUCAUUUUUUUGCCUGCUUGUGUGAAGAGUGUGGCUUCUCUUAUUUCUCUCUCUGUGAUUUUGUUGUUAGUGUAUAGGAAUGCUAUUGAUGUCUGAGUAUUGAUUUUGUAUCCAACUACAUUACUGAAUUUAUUAUAUCUAAGAGUCUUCCAAUGGAGUUUAGGGGGUCUUCUAUGUAAAGUAUCAUGUCAUCUGCAAACAAUGAUAAUUUAACUUCUUCUUUUCCUAUCUUUACCCCUUUUAUUUCCCUCUCUUGUCUAAUUGCUCUGGCUAGUACUUCCAGUACUGUAUUAAAUAGGAGUGGUGAUAAAGGACAUCCUUGUUUUGUGCCUGAUUUUAAAGUAAAGGCUUUCAAUUUUUGGUCAUUUAGUAUGUUACUGGCUGUUGGUUUGUCGUAGAUGGCCUUUAUUAUAUUGAGGUAAAGACCAUCUAUUCCAAUUUUCUGUAAAGUUCUUAUCAUGAAUGAAUGUUGGACCUUAUCAAAGGCUUUUUCUGCAUCUAUAGAAAUGAUCAUGUGAUUCUUACUUUUGGCCUUAUCGAUAUGGUAUAUUACAUUUAUUGAUUUACGUAUGUUGAACCAUCCUUGCAUGCCUGGGAUGAAUCCCACUUGGUCAUGAUGUAUGAUCUUCUUGAUGAUUUGCUGCAUCCUAUGCAAAUAUUUUAUUGAGGAUUUUUGCAUCUGUGUUCAUUAGGGAGGUUGGUCUAUAGUUCUCUUUUUUAGUUGGGUCUUUCUCAGGUUUUGGUACUAGAGUAAUAUUUGCUUCCAGGAAUAACUUAGGAAGGAUUACUUCCCUUUCAAUUUCAUUGGAUAGUUUGAGGAGUGUCAGCAUUAGGUCUUCUUUGUAUUUCUUGUAGAAUUCUGCAGUGAAUCCAUCUGGGCCUGGGCUCUUCUUUGUAGGUUAGGACUUAAUUACAUUUUCAGUUUCAUUAACAGAGAUUGGGUUAUUCAGCAGUUUUACAUCCUCUUGACCUAGCUUUGGUAUUUCAUAUGUUUCUAAGAAUCUGUCUAUUGCUUCUGUGUUAUCAAACCUUUGAGAGUAGAGGUUUUCAAAAUAGGUGUUGAUGAUCUUCUGUAUUUCUGUAGAGUCUAUAGUGAUUUCCCUUUUUCAUUUCUUAUUGCAUGAAUUUGAGCUUUUUCUUCCCUUUUUAAAAAUAAGGUUGGCUAGGGGCUUAUCAAUUCUAUUUAUUCUUUCAAAGAACCAACUCUUUGAUUUGUUGAUUUUUUGGAUUGUUUUCUUAGUCUCUAUUGUGUUGAUUUCUGCUCUGAUUUUUAUAAUUUCCUCUCUUCUUUUGGCUUUGGGCUUGACUUGCUCUUCUUUUUCUAGCUGUUUGAGGUGUAGCAUCAGGUUAUUUAUUUGUAUUCGUUCUGUUUUCCUGAUGUGGGAACUCAGUGCAAUAAAUUUUCCUCUGAGGACAGCUUUCAUUGCAUCCCACAGAUUCCAGUAAGUUGUAUCUGUAUUUUCAUUUUCUUGUAGGUAUUGUUUAAUUUCUUCUUUAAUUUUUCCUGUGACCCACUGAUUACUCAAGAGUGUGUUAUUCAGUUUCCAUAUGUUUGUGGGAUUUUUGCAGUAUCUUUUAUCAUUAAUUUCUAAUUUGAAAGUGCUAUGAUCCGAUAACAUGCAAGGGAUGAUUUCAACUUUUUCAUUUGUUUAAAUAUGUUCUGUUAUAUAGUCUGUUUUAGAGAAUGACCCAUGUACUGCUGAGAAAAAUGUGUAUUCUGAUGUUGUUGGAUGGAACACUCUGUAUAUGUCUAUCAAGUCCAUUUGUUCACAGGUGUGAUUCAGUUCUGUUAUUUCUUUGCUCAUUUUCUGUCUGAUUGAUCUGUCCCUUGGUGUCAAUGGUGUGUUAUGGUCUCCUGUUACAUUCGUGUUACUGAUAAUUUGAUUUUUCAUUUCUGUUAAUAGUUGUUUUAUAUAACUGGGUGGUCUGGAAUUUGGUGCAUAUAUAUUUAAGAUAGUUAUUUCUUCCUCUUGGAGUUUUCCCCUAACGAGUAUGUAGUGACCUUCUUUGUCCUUUCUGAUCAUUGUUGGUUUAAAGUUCCCGUUGUCUGAAAACAGAAUGGCUACUCCUGCUUUUUUUUAGAUUCUUGUUGCAUGAAGUAUUGUUUUCCAUCCUUUGACUUUCAGUCUGUGAGUAUCCUUCUGGGUUAGAUGGGUUUCCUACAGCAUAUGGUUGGAUUUUGUUUCUUGAUGCAUUCUGCCAGUCUGUUUCUUUUGAUUGGUGCAUUGAGACCAUUUACAUUAAUGGUUAUAACUGUUAUAUGCUGGUUUAUUGUUGACAUGUUAUCUUUCUGCUGUUGCAUCUUUAUCUUUCUGUUCUGUUUAAUUAUCUGCUUUGCUUAGUGGUUUUUUCCUUUGUGUAUCUAAACUGUCUCUCAAUAGUUUUUGCAGGGUUGGCUUGGUGAUCAUGAGGUUCUUCAGCUGUUCUUUGUCAUGGAAGUAUCGUAUUUCACCAUCGAUUUUGAAUGAUAGUUUUGCAGGGUACAUCAGUCUAGGUUGGAAAUCAUUUUGCUUUAGGAUCUGGAAAACUUCACUCCAUGCUCUUCUUGACUUUAUUAUUUGUGCUGAGAAGUCUGCUGUGAUUCUGAUAGGUUUUCCUUUAUAAGUGAUCUGUCUUUUCUCUCUGACAGCUUUUUUUUUUUUUUUCUUUUCUUUUUCCUUUUUAUCGGUACCGGGGAUCAAACUCACAACUGCCUGCUUGCAAGGCAGGGGCUUAUGCCGCUGAGCUAAAUCUGCAGCCCCUCUCUGACAGCUUUUAAAAAUCUAUUCUUGUGUUGGAUUUCUGGGAUGGUGAUUAUUAUAUGUCUGGGUGUAGUUUUAUUUUGGUUAUGACUACUUGGAGUUCAGUAGGCUUCACUGAACCUGAUGUCGGUUUCUGAUCUCAUGCUUGGGAAAUUUUCAGCUAUUACUUCUCUAAAUAUCCUCUUGACAUCCUUUAUGUUGUCCCCUUCUUUUCCAAUAAUCCCUAUCAAUCUUAUGUUGUUUUUCUUUGCGUCACCUUGCAGUUGUUGAAUUAUUAUUUCCUGAUUACUUGUUAUUUUUAAAAUCUUUUCUUUCCUGUUCACUAGCUACAAUCCUGUCUUCAAGGUCUGAAAUUCUAUCUUCACUUUCAUUGAGGCGGUUUUUACAGCCUUCAGUGGAGUUUUUGAUUUCCUGUAUAUCUCUGUGCAUCUGCUUUAUGUAUUCUGUUUGUUUCUUAUAUUGCUCAUCUAGGGAUUCUAUCUUUUUGUUUAGUUCCUCCAAUUUUUAAACUGUGUUUUCUUUAGAUAUAUUCAGCAUCUCUUUCAUUUCAUCAUUUUUUCUUUUACCUGGGAGAUUAUUUCGAGUUUGAAUUCCUUUAAAGCUUCCCAGAGUUGCUUAUUUAUUUCAGUGGCUAUUAUGUCUGAUAUUUGAGGUGUAUGGCAUAUAUUUUCUUCUAUAUACAUUGCUCCUAGGGUUUCUUGAGAUGGGCUGGAGGUUUGAGGUUGUAAUUUGGUCUUUCGUUUUGUCAUUUUCCUGUAUUUCUGUGUUUCAAGUGUUAUUGAAAAGCUUCCUCAGGGUCUGUUGGAAAUUCACUUCUAUGUUUGCAUUUCCUGGGACUCUGGCACCCAGUUCCCCCAGGCCACUGGGCCUCUGGAACCCAUGGCGCUCUCUGCUUGCUUAGAAUUCCGCAGUCCCAGAUAAGCUGGGCUCCAGGGACAGUGUGCGCCCACCUGCUUGCUUGGAACUCCACAGUUCUCUGAGUGCCGCCUUAGCAGGGAGGUGGAUGUAGGAGCCUCUGAUCUGCCUAUCUACUUCACUGCACCUGGCAGGCUCGAGGGUCCCAAACAGGCUGGGCUUGGGGGAGAGUGUACUGGACACUUACCGCAGGCUGUGGGGCCUCUGGAUGUGAUGAUGCUCGCCUGCUUGCUUAGAAAUCCACAGUCCUCCAGACACACGGGGCAGCGGAUGCAGGUGCCCCAGACCCAUCCAGCUGUUCCCCCGCACCCAGAUGGUGCGAGGGUCCCAAAUAGGCUGGGCUCAGGGAACAGUGUGCACCCGCCUGCUUGCUUGAAACUCCACAGUUCUCCCAGCGCAGCCAGAACGCGGAGGCAGAUGUAGGCGCCUGGGACUUGCCUAGCCACUUCGCUGCAUGGGGAAGGCUUGAGGGUCCUGAGCAGGCUAUGCUUGGGGGAGAGUGUACUAGGCACUUACUGGAGGCCGCUGGAACUGGUGAUGCUCGCCUGCUUGCUUAGGAAUCCACAGUCCUCCAGACUGACGGGGAGGUGGAUGCAGGCACCCCAGACCUGCCCAGCCAUUACCCAAAACUGAUAUGAUUGAUAGUAUCAAGUGUGAGAGUAUAGGCAACUACACUGAAAAUGACAAGACUCUAUGAUACACAUUCUGGUUUGAUAACUGCCUGCAUUUGAAGUUUUAUACUAUAUACAAAGUUGUGUUUUUAUUAAUACUGUUAUGUACUGAUAUAUUCAAUUAUACUAUGUCUGAUGAUAUAGCCAGUUCUAUUGAAGAUAACAUGAGACAACACAGCAACUAUGGUAGAACUCCUUGUACAACGGUCUUAUAUGUCUUUUUCGUUUCAUGUGUUUAUAGGAUUAUGUUUUGUUUUGUCUUGCUUUAUUUUGUUUCUCCUAAUAUAGAAAGGAUAGAAAUACAUGUUAAGACUCAUGCAUGUAUAGAACUGAUCUUAUGACACAUGAUGAACAGAUACUUUGAAGGAAAACAGACACUAAAGUUUUUGUUGGAUAGUUGAACAGAAUUGGUUGCAAUCUCACUGUUUGAAUCCCCACUUUAUAUGUUCCACUUUAGUAUCCUGAAUAACUAUUUGUAAGAGGACAAUCUGUAAUCAACUAGUGAUUUCUUACUGUUUAUUUUUUCCUUUAAAGUGUGUAUUAUUUCUACCCAUUUUCUGUUUUGUUUAGUCUUUCUUUAAAUAAAAAAAAAAAUUAAAAAAAAAAAAAAGACACUACAGUACCCAGUGCUCAUCCCGGAGUGUCAUGAUGUGAAAUCCAGCAAUACUAUUAUUCUUUGUUCAGAAUGACUUUAGCAUGCUUUAGUUUGUUUAAUCCCAACAUAAAUGAAGAUAUGGAAAGCUGCAUGUGUGUUUAAGUGUAUAGGAUUGACAACCAUAUUACUAAGUUUUUGUUGGAUAGUUGAACAGAACUGGUUGCAGUCACGCUGUUUGAAUUCCCAUUUUAUAUGUCCCACUUUUGUAUCCUGAACAACUAUUUGUAAAAGGACAAUAUGUAAACAUUAACUAGUGAUUUCUUACUGUUUAUUUCUUCUCUGAACGAAUGUAUUACUUCUUCCCAUUUUCUGUUUUGUUUAGUCUUUAUUUAAAUAAAAUGUUUUUUAAAAAAGAGAGAGACCAUGUGGCCGCUACCUGAGAUUUAAGGUAAAUACUUGCUUCCAGGCCUGGGAAUGGUUUAGCUAUUCCUGAUGGCGUGAAAGCACUUAUAGAAAGAAAUGCUCACACCUUAAGCUGUGGGAAGAGGCUCACAGAGCUUUUAUGGUGGCCACAAAAGAAACCAUUCUUUAUUGAGCUGUGGGGCGUGGCUGUCAGAAUGCAGAGGUGAAAACAGAAGCAAAAUCAAGUUAUCUUUGGGAAUAGCAUUGCCAUGGGAAUCCAUGUGCCACGGUAAACUGUGGACAUACUCAAAGAGGUUGAGGCAAGGGGAAGGUUUUAAAGGCAAAAGUGAGAAAGAUUACAAAAAGACAUUUUGGAACAAUAAUCUUGAGACAGUGGUUAAUAACAAGGGUGACAUCAGUGGGAGGUUGAAUAAAGAGUUGCUGGUUUUACA